UCGUUCCUUCUCCUUCAUCGUUCCUCUUCCUCUCGUUCCUUAUCCCUUCAUGUUCCGUCUCCCCUUCUCGUUCCGUCUCCCCUUCAUCGUUCCGUCCCCUUCAUCGUUCUUCUCCCCUUCAUCGUUCCUUCUCCUCUUCACUUCCUCUCCCUUCAUCGUUCUUCUCCCCUUCAUCGUUCCUUCUCCCCUUCAUCGUUCCUUCUCCCCUCGUUCCCUCCCCUUCAUCGUUCCGUCUCCUUCUCCCCCUCAUCGUUCUCUCCCUCUCCCCUCAUCAAAUGUCUUACCAUUCAUACCAUAGGUAUCAAGAUUUUAUACAAUACAGGAUGUGCAAUAUGGCAAGGAGAAAUUUCAAUAACAUGUAUGUUUGACAUAUACAUAACAUAUUGCAGAUAACAGGAGCGUUUCUGAUUACAUUAACAUGUUUUGUUUCUGUGUGUGUCAAGUGAGCCGCUGGAGACAGCGCUGGCCUGUAGAGAUGGAGGCCAAGGAUCGGUACCAGAGCAGCGUGGCCUGUAGGGGAGGCCAAGGAUCGGUCACCGAGACACGUGGCCUGUAGGUGAGGCCAGUCGGUACCAGAGACAGCGCUGGCCUGUAGCGAUGGGGCCAAGGAUCGGACCAGAGACAGCGCUGGCCUGUAGCGAUGGAGGCCGUCGGUCCCAGGACUUGCUGGCCUGUAGAGAUGGAGGCCAGAUCGUACCAGAGCAGUGGACAUCAAGAGCCACGAGUCAGCUGUCGUCUGAGAUAAAUACGUGUCGUGGGGAGCUGUCAUCCAUGGAGCAGGAGCUGCAGAGGCUGCGGAGAGACACCAGUAUGAAUUCCUCCCAGCUCAGCUACGUGGAGGAGACCCUGCAGAAGACCCAGGGCCUACUGGAGGAGAAGAACGACACGGGUAGGACACUGGGGGGGCGGGGGUGUUUUAGAUCAUUCCUUUUUUCUUCAUUUCUUCAUUCAUUAGGGCCCAUUUCCUUUAGACUUCUGUGAUUCUAGAACUGAACUGAACAAAGAACGUUCAUUGUGGAAACCCUCUCUUCCCCUUCUCCCCUUCUCCUCCCCUUCUCUUCCCCUUCUCCUCCCCUUCUCUUCCCCUUCUCCUCCCCUUCUCUUCCCCUUCUCUUCCCCUUCUCCUCCCUUUCUCUUCCCCUUCUCCUCCCCUUCUCUUCCUCUUCCCCUUCUCUUCCCCUUCUCUUCCCCUUCUCUUCCCCUUCUCCUCCCCUUCUCUUCCCCUUCUCCUCCCCCCUUCAGUUGUGGACUUGGAGGAGAAGCUCCACUGCUGUGAGGAGGACAGGCGGACCUCUGUGCAGCAUGUGAAGGAUCUGGAGGGACAGCUACAGGAGGUGCGCGAUGAGAUGCACGACACCCUAGAGAAACUACAGGAGCUGAGAGACCUGUUACAGGCCACGCAGCUUGGCGCAGAUGAACGACAGAUUUCAUUGGAGAAACUGUCCGCCGAGCUCAGGUGAGCCUCUCUGCCAACCGCCCGACACACACACACACACCAUGACCGGUGGUCUCCAUUUGUUGCUUCAUUGAAGAAGACAGGUUUCCCCUCAAACCUUUAGGAAAUGCUUCUUAAACAAAAUCAUCUCCAAACAGACAAAAGUCCCCCUCCCCAAGUAAGGUCAGGGGAAAAUGUAAUAAAAUGACUGCAUGGCAAUUUGAAGGUGAAGGUAUUUCAUUUCUAAAACCUAUUUCAUUACACAUUUCAUUGAAGAAGCGCUGCCAGCACACCGGAAGUAACACGUGCUGUCUAUGGACAGUGUAACCAUGGCAACCGCUGACCUGCCGAGCGCUGUGGAUUUGUGUCUGCGACUUCGUUGACAGACCGAUUUGGGAAGACUGGAUCCAAAGUCCUGCGUUUUGUUUUGGUUUUAACAAAAUGAAAACAUUCUUUAGUCAGAUUUAAUAAUCAUUGAUUUUGGAUGACCUUGUUUGUCUUUUUACUGUGACUUUUUACUACAUAAAAAAGGAAAUAUGAUAUGUGUAAUAUGUAUAUACUAUUUUUUUAAAGUACAUAUUACGUACUGUGCAUAACUUAUUUGUUGAGAAUUAGGUGCAAUGCUGAAAACGUAGCUCCUAUUUACACUGAAUCCUGACGUGAUCAUCAUCAUCAUCAUCAUCAUCAUCAAGGGAAAGCCUCCGUUUCAAGAGGAGGAGGCUAACUGCACUAUACAGUGGCAGGCUGAGUUGGUCUCUGUCAUUCAUUAUAUGGAUCAUUCUAUUUGUAUUAUAUAUUUCAGAAUGUAUUGUUUUUAGAAUGUAUAAAUUGUGUUUUCUUAUGAGGCUUUGUCGCAGUGCGGAGAACAAAGAGCAGUUGCUUUGGACACACACACACACACACACACGGAUAUCAAGCACCCGUGAUGAGUCAUAAAUCAUUUGAUACACAUGAUCUCUUUGUGUACAUAGAGACACAGAACAGGAUAUUAGAUUUUACGUCCUGUUCUCCAUUCCAAAUACAAUAUCACUCUUGUCUGUCUGGUAUGGAGUUAAUGCCCUCUGUUUGAUACCAACCAGCCACAUCUUUGGCUAACAUCUUUGUCAAAUACACAGUUGUCCCCCAGCCAGCAUGACUUGAAAAGUUGACAGUGUCACCACUGUCAAAGGGCACGCUCUAACCGGGUUUAUGUUAUGGGGAUUAUUGUGAAGCUUUGACAUGUAUACACGUGGAUCGUCUCUCAUUCAAACAUAAUGACAACUACAGCAACACCUGAUGAUCUGUAAAAUCCUAUUGAACAGCUACUGUGCUGUAACUCCUCCCCUCAGGCAUGGAUGCAGUAGAAUUGAAGUUAAACUAAAGGCAUCAAAAAGACUACGUUCUGUGACUGAGUACAGGCUGUCUGAGGGGAUCAGAAUCACUUAUCUGGGUCACACACUGAUUCAUCUCUCCUGGACAGAACUACCUAAACAUGAACAUCUGACCAAAUUGCGUGAGAUUUUUUGUUAUGGGUUAACUGAGAUUACACACUGACUAGUUAUUUAGGAUGCAAGGUGAUUUGUUGAUCAGUGACUCGGACUGCGAUGCAGUUCAUCUCAAACGCACACAACAUCUCUGCAUUACAGUCGCAAGUAGUUUUCCUUUGAUUCCCUCCUGUGUGUGAAACAAAAUGCCCUUUACUCAGAGGUGAUCAGAUGAGAUCUUGAGUGCGUGUGUGUGAUUUCACAGUUGUGCCGGUGCUUCUGGGUAGGUUCCCCAGCUCCACAUAACAUGCCUUCAGAUCCACCGUGUGUGUGUGUGUGCGUGUGUGUGAGGCAACAUUAACUGUGUGGCAUGCCAUAGUAUAUUUAAUUUGAAUGGCCAAAGUCUUAAUGGAUGGAAUUAUAAGAAAUAAGGCCUUUCUCUCUCUGUGUGUGUCUCCCUCCUCUUCCUCAGCUGGGCCAGUUGGACGUGGUCAUCAGAGACCAUACCCUGGAGAUAGACAAAAAGGCUCAGUCCCUACAGCAGACUGGACCAGAGAAAGAGGUUAAAGACUGAGACAGACAUCAUAAAGGCCACAUUACACUCAUUUGGAGUUGUUGUUGGCCCUGGAAACCACAUACUCUCCAUUCUGGUAUAGUGAUAAAUGUGAAGAGCUGUUGAUGAGUUAUGGUAUUAUUAUACUGAUGGAUGGAGAGAUGAGUUAUGGUAUUAUUAUACUGAUAGAUGGAGGGAGAGAUGAUUUAUGGUAUUAUUAUACUGAUGGAUGGAGAGAUGAGUUAUGGUAUUAUUAUACUGAUGGAUGGAGGGAGAAAUGAGUUAUGGUAUUAUUAUACUGGUGGAUGGAGAGGUGAGUUAUGGUAUUAUUAUACUGAUGAGGGAGAGGUGAGUUAUGGUAUUAUACUGGUGGAUGGAGGGAGAGAUGAGUUAUGGUAUUAUUAUACUGGUGGAUGGAGGGAGAGAUGAGUUAUGGUAUUAUUAUACUGAUGAAUGGAGAGGUGAGUUAUGGUAUUAUUAUACUGAUGAGGGAGAGAUGAGUUAUGGUAUUAUUAUACUGA
rnacentral:lncRNA from 1 species